rnacentral:rRNA from 1 species
AUGUCACCCGUGGAGAGACUGGAAUCCCGAACCUGAUCGUCAAAAUUCAGUUGGUUUUGUUUACAGCGAGGUUAUAUCAGGGUAAUGAUUAAUAGGGAUAGUUGGGGGCAUUAAUAUUUAAUUGUCAGAGGUGAAAUUCUUGGAUUUAUGAAAGAUUAACUUCUGCGAAAGCGUUUGCCAAGGAUGUUUUCAUUAAUCAAGAACGAAAGUUAGGGGAUCGAAGACGAUCAGAUACCGUCGUAGUCUUAACCAUAAACGAUGCCGACCAGCGAUUAGGAGACGUUGAAUACAAAACACCGCCGUUAAUCCUUUCGGGGGUUAAUGGUUGGUGAAUGA